rnacentral:lncRNA from 1 species
CUUUUGCCUUGUUGUGCUUUUGCUGCAGAAGGAAUAUACAUGCCUACAGCUUUUGUAUUCCCAUUCACAUCACUGGCAGUGACAGACUCUUCUCUUAUUAGAUGAAAAUACCAGAAAGUGGCUGCUUAUCUGGAUAAAGCUUCCUGCUCUUCCUUGGACAUCACCUUUGAAUAUGGGGGAGUCAUUUAAAAAUCUGAGGAGGAGAGCUGUUUGGCACCUGUCAUCCAGCCAGGCUGAAUCCACCACAGAUGCCUAAAUCCUGACUCUUCAAUCAAUUGAUCUAUAAUCACUCUCUGACUUCAACUAUAAGAUGUAGAAACCCAAGCGUAUAAGCCAAAGAAGAAAGAUUAAUUGAACAAAGAAAGGAGUA